UACGAAGGGGGCUAGCGUUGCUCGGAAUCACUGGGCGUAAAGCGCACGUAGGCGGCUUUUUAAGUCAGGGGUGAAAUCCUGGAGCUCAACUCCAGAACUGCCUUUGAUACUGAGAAGCUUGAGUCCGGGAGAGGUGAGUGGAACUGCGAGUGUAGAGGUGAAAUUCGUAGAUAUUCGCAAGAACACCAGUGGUGAAGGCGGCUCACUGGCCCGGUACUGACGCUGAGGUGCGAAAGCGUGGGGAGCAAACAGG
rnacentral:rRNA from 1 species